GGGAAUCUUAGACAAUGGGCGCAAGCCUGAUCUAGCCAUGCCGCGUGAGUGACGAAGGUCUUAGGAUCGUAAAGCUCUUCCGCCUGUGAUGAUAAUGACAGUAGCAGGUAAAGAAACCCCGGCUAACUCCGUGCCAGCAGCCGCGGUAAUACGGAGGGGGUUAGCGUUGUUCGGAAUUACUGGGCGUAAAGCGCACGUAGGCGGACCAUCAAGUUGGGGGUGAAAUCCCGGGGCUCAACCCCGGAACUGCCUUCAAAACUGGUAGUCUGGAGUUCGAGAGAGGUGAGUGGAAUUCCGAGUGUAGAGGUGAAAUUCGUAGAUAUUCGGAGGAACAUCAGUGGCGAAGGCGGCUCACUGGCUCGAUACUGACGCUGAGGUGCGAAAGUGUGGGGAGCA
rnacentral:rRNA from 1 species